ACAGGUUUGAAGUUUAAGUGUUAUCUGCAACACUUGCUGGUCAGUUUAGAAAAAGUACAUAUAUUUUAGAGCCUUAUUUUUUCCAUUUGAGAAUAAUUUUUAAAAAAUAACGUUUGCUCACCUAUCCCUGAGCAUUUUCCUGAGAAUCCAAUGCUAUAAUGUGUAUGAAAGCACUUGGUAAAUGCAAAGCACUUUAUUAACAGAUGAAGUUAUUGUUAUCAUUUUCAUCAGUAAACCAUUGAGAACAAUGCUUUGGCAGGAUUUUUUCUUCUCUCAACCACAGACAGAGCUUUAUCUCCCUGCCUCCAGAUGUGACACAUUAGAAGUUACUUGAGCUCAAGGUCAUUUUUUAACUUUGGCUCCUUAGAGAAGCAAUGGAAUAAACCAAAGAUCAAUGUGAAUGUUUUCCAAUAAAAUCAUCCAAAAGGAAUACCCAGGGAGGGAUGGAAAGCAUUCCAAGGACCCCACAGGAAGAACAAGUUUUUGAUAGCUCUGGACUGCUCUAAUAAGAUUGCCUUAGCCAUUGUCCAGCUUUCCAUUGGGAAAGACUUUCCUUGGUCAACUCCUAUUACAUUUCAAUGUUUCCUUGGUCAACUGCUAUUACAUUUCAGUGUCUUUGAGGGGCUCAAUCAGAGGGCCUCAAUCAAAUAACUUAAACUUAAAAUAUUUAGGCCCAAUCAUUACUACAGACCAGGAUCAAAUUGGAGUUCUUUUUACAUAAUUAAAAAUAUGUAUCAAUAAUUUUUCAACUUGAGAACCUCCCUGAAUUCAACAAUUAAAGUUUAGAGAUAACUGUUUGGGAAUUCUAGUUUGAUCUGUUUAUAGAAAUUAAAUACAGGAAGGCCAGAGACUACCUCAGUUGCCAUUCUCAUGGUUUGUUGUGUCAGGAACAUAAAAAGUAUGUGAAAAUAUGUACUGAAGUUGCUCAGUCAUUAUUUCUUAAGAAUAUUAUUGUAACAUGAGCUUUGUUAAAGUCUUUUUUAUUUGCCAUCUCUGUCUCCUUCAGUAAAAUGUCCGUUCAUGUUUUUUGCUCAUUUCAUAGUUGGACUUUUUGUUGUUUUGAUGCUGAGCUUUGAAAUACAC
rnacentral:lncRNA from 10 species